AGAGUGCAUUAGUCUACAUGUCUCUCUAUAUAUUUUUUCUUUUUGUGUGUGUCUGGUUUUCCUAGAUUUCUCUCUUGCAUGUUUGUGGGUAUGAGAGUCUGUUAGUAUUAAUAUGUGAAUGGGUGUGUGCUAUUUGUCUGGGGAGGAUGAUUUAGGCAAGGAUUUGAAAGUGUGCAUUUAGAAAUUGAGGGCAUCUCUGUGUUAUUAUGAGUGUAUGUGUGUUUGUGUGUGCAUUUUAGAGUGGUUGGUUAUCUGUGUGUAUUUGCAAGGAGAAGGGGAAUUCAGUGUGUUUCUGUGUUUGUGUGUUUGUUUGUGAAUGGUAUGUUUUGCAGAGGAGUGUACUUUUUAUGUUCGAAAGUUAGGCAAUCAUGUAAUUUAUCAUCCAAAUGGGGAUACAUUUGAGAAUGAAAUAUAUAUGUGUGUGAAAGGAUGUCUUUGAAUGUACUUUUAAAAAUGCAUUUAAUUUUGUGUGUGUUAUUGGUGUCAGGAAUUAAGAAAAAGAAGAGAAGUACAGGAGAUAUCAUUAAAUUAUAUAGUUCUCUCUUCGACUGUAGCCUUAUAACAGGGACAUUAAUAGAAUUAACAGUCGCGACUCAGGGAUAAGCCUGAGACACAUGGAGAGAACAUCCUGAUCAAUCUGGUCUUUGCUGCUACCCUGGUCAACAGCCUGAGCUGGAUACCUGGCUGACAAGUACCACCUUUUUCCUACACAGAUGACAACCCAGCCCAUGAGCACCAGGAAAAUUAAACAAAAAGCCGAAAGAAAAAAGAAAAGAAGAAGUCUGGGAGUGAAGUUAUAUGCUUAAAGGCAUGCAUCUAGCAAAUGGCAAAAAAAAUGGAUGAAGACACAAGACUGAUUGUCACUAAAAACCAUGUGGUAUGUUUGAGCAAGCCCUUCUCUAGGGAAGACCCAUAAAAUUUGACUCAUGAAGAGAGAGAAAAAAAUUCAGGAGGCGAAAUUAAUACGGGGAGAAAAUGAAAGAGAUUUAGUGCAGCUAUCAACCGACCAUUGUGCUGUCUUUAAGAGUCUGUUGAAACAACAUAAUAAGAGCUCAUUGACCAGAAUUAGCAACAUGGCCCUUCCUAACUAGAAGGGACCAGAAUGGAUAGUCCUUCUAUGUGUCCAGAAGGAGAGAAGGACCAGAUAUGUGUGAUCAUGUCUCCAUUAUGGGAGAAAAGAGAAUUGAAAAAGAAAGAAGAUCCACAUAGUGUCUGAGGAGCUGAGACAAAAGAAAAGAGUUGUUAUGGGGCUCUGAUUAGAAUAUAGAGCAAAUCACAGAGCCUCCUGCUAACAGGUGUGCAGACAAGCGCUAAGAUGAAAUGGGCCAAAUACGAGAGUCAGGAAACUUGUGUGCUGGUUUUACCUGUGACAUAAACCAGCAGUAUGAAUUUGGUCCAAACACGAAAGUGAAGCAGCAAGCAGCCCAUGACAAAUAUGUGCACUGCCAGCUAAUGAAUAUUGGAGAACAUGACACGUUGGAGAGCCCAGUGGGUCUUGAAAGUCUGAGUUCCAGCAAAUUCUCAUGUCUGCAUCGACUGCAGCAAGGUCAAAAGUUGGAAAGCAGGGAUAUUCGUUUUGCAGCCACAUCAGUUUCUGAUUAGACUUACAAUUUAAGUGGGGAAGUGACUUUGGAAGAGACAUGCGUGCUGUCAGCAGAUGGGAGAGAGGAUGGAGAAAGAUGGAGGGAGGCUGCUGUAACACCUGUUCUGGUUGGGAUUCUGAAUGAAUAUGAAAGAUGCCACUGCUACUCCUUCACUUGCUCAUUCUGCAAAAGUUUGUAGAUCUUCUGCAAGGAGAACGGCAUUGUUAACUACCUACAGGAAGUGUCUCAGAUUAACAGACGUGUGUAGGAUUUCAGUCCCAUUUGAAUACACCCGAUGGAUGUACGACCUUGAGAAAUUUACUUAACACUUCCAGGUCAGCCCGGCGUGGUGGCUUAUGCCUGUAUUUCCAGCACUUGGGGAGGCCAAGCCGGGUGGAUCACGAGGUCAGGAGUCCGAGACCAGCCUGGCCAACAUGGUGAAAACCUGUCUCUACUAAAGAUACAAAAAUUAUCUGGGUGUGGUGGUGGGCGCC
ensembl:lncRNA novel transcript